rnacentral:tRNA from 1 species
CAAGGAGUAGUUUAAAUUAAAAUUCCAGCUUUGGGUGCUGGGGAUGGGACUAAUAUCUUCUCCUUGA